UGAAUGUGAUGGAGCAUCAAUGCCUGU
rnacentral:piRNA from 2 species